GUCGUUAAUGAGCAGGUAGGGGUUAGACAGUACAGAGACAGGUCAUUAAGGAGCAGGUAGGGGUUAGACAGUACAGAGACAGGUCAUUAAGGAGCAGGUAGGGGUUUGACAGUAGAGAGAGAUCAUUAAGGGGCAGGUAGGGGUUAGACAGUACAGAGACAGGUCAUUAAGGAGCAGGUAGGGGUUAGACAGUACAGAGACAGGUCAUUAAGGAGCAGGUAGGGGUUAGACAGUACAGAGACAGGUCAUUAAGGAGCAGGUAGGGGUUAGACAGGACAGAGACAGGUCAUUAAGGAGCAGGUAGGGGUUAGACAGUACUGAGACAGGUCAUUAAGGAGCAGGUAGGGGUUAGACAGUACAGAGACAGGUCAUUAAGGAGCAGGUAGGGGUUUAACAGUAGAGAGAGAUCAUUAAGGGGCAGGUAGGGAUUAGACAGUACAGAGACAGGUCAUUAAGGAGCAGAUAGGGGUUAGACAGUAGAGAGACAGGUCAUUAAGGAGCAGGUAGGGGUUAGACGGUACAGAGACAGGUCAUUAAG
ensembl:lncRNA